rnacentral:rRNA from 1 species
ACAGGAUUAGAUACCCUGGUAGUCCACGCCGUAAACGAUGUCGACUUGGAGGCUGUUCCCCUGAGGAGUGGCUUCCGGAGCUAACGCGUUAAGUCGACCGCCUGGGGAGUACGGCCGCAAGGUUAAAACUCAAAUGAAUUGACGGGGGCCCGCACAAGCGGUGGAGCAUGUGGUUUAAUUCGAUGCAACGCGAAGAACCUUACCUACUCUUGACAUCCACGGAAUUUGGCAGAGAUGCCUUAGUGCCUUCGGGAACCGUGAGACAGGUGCUGCAUGGCUGUCGUCAGCUCGUGUUGUGAAAUGUUGGGUUAAGUCCCGCAACGAGCGCAACCCUUAUCCUUUGUUGCCAGCGAUUCGGUCGGGAACUCAAAGGAGACUGCCGGUGAUAAACCGGAGGAAGGUGGGGAUGACGUCAAGUCAUCAUGGCCCUUACGAGUAGGGCUACACACGUGCUACAAUGGCGCAUACAAAGAGAAGCGACCUCGCGAGAGCAAGCGGACCUCAUAAAGUGCGUCGUAGUCCGGAUCGGAGUCUGCAACUCGACUCCGUGAAGUCGGAAUCGCUAGUAAUCGUGGAUCAGAAUGCCACGGUGAAUACGUUCCCGGGCCUUGUACACACCGCCCGUCACACCAUGGGAGUGGGUUGCAAAAGAAGUAGGUAGCUUAACCUUCGGGAGGGCGCUUACCACUUUGUGAUUCAUGACUGGGGUGAAGUCGUAACAAGGUAUC